GAUGAACGCUGGCGGCGUGCCUAAUACAUGCAAGUCGAGCGAACAGACGAGGAGCUUACUCCUCUGACGUUAGCGGCGGACGGGUGAGUAACACGUGGAUAGCCUACCUAUAAGACUGGGAUAACUUCGGGAAACCGGAGCUAAUACCGGAUAACAUGUUGAACCGCAUGGUUCAACAGUGAAAGACGGUCUUGCUGUCACUUAUAGAUGGAUCCGCGUCGCAUUAGCUAGUUGGUAAGGUAACGGCUUACCAAGGCAACGAUGCGUAGCCGACCUGAGAGGGUGAUCGGCCACACUGGAGCUGAGACACGGUCCAGACUCCUACGGGAGGCAGCAGUAGGGAAUCUUCCGCAAUGGGCGAAAGCCUGACGGAGCAACGCCGCGUGAGUGAAGAAGGUCUUCGGAUCGUAAAACUCUGUUAUUAGGGAAGAACAAAUGUGUAAGUAACUAUGCACGUCUUGACGGUACCUAAUCAGAAAGCCACGGCUAACUACGUG
rnacentral:rRNA from 1 species